rnacentral:rRNA from 1 species
AUGGCUCUCGUCAGCCGUGUCGUGAGAUGUUGGGUUAAGUCCCGCAACGAGCGCAACCCUUGCCAUUAGUUGCUACGAAAGGGCACUCUAAUGGGACUGCCGGUGACAAACCGGAGGAAGGUGGGGAUGACGUCAAGUCCUCAUGGCCCUUAUAGGUGGGGCUACACACGUCAUACAAUGGCUGGUACAAAGGGUUGCCAACCCGCGAGGGGGAGCUAAUCCCAUAAAGCCAGUCGUAGUCCGGAUCGCAGUCUGCAACUCGACUGCGUGAAGUCGGAAUCGCUAGUAAUCGUGGAUCAGCAUGUCACGGUGAAUACGUUCCCGGGUCUUCUACACACCGGCCGU